GUGCCCAGCCUUCGGCUUGGAACUCGGGGACAUCACCGAUGAGCUCAGCAAUUCCUAUUGGCUACUUCAGGCAUGGCCCCAUCCCCAAAUGUGAACGUCACAAUGCGGAAGUCGUCCAUGUCGGUGAAAUAUCUGGGAGCGAAGCAAUUUCUUCCCCUUUUCCAUUUUUUUUUCGUGGUGGUGGGGGAAUGUUCACGUGCAGCAACUGAGUGGAGAGGAAGUAAAUCCAGGAAGGGAACAUACUCUGAAAGUGUUGGUUCAGGUAACUGAACCUGUGGUUUUUACAAACAUCAUCAGAAAUAGCGUCAGAAAGCAUGGUUUGGAUUUAGAUAACAAUAGCAUCAAAAUCCAACAUGGACAAUUACUCGGGAACACUCUUGUUUAACCAAUCCUUAUAAACUUCAAAAUCACUUUA